rnacentral:rRNA from 1 species
GUAGGGAAUCUUCCACAAUGGACGAAAGUCUGAUGGAGCAACGCCGCGUGAGUGAAGAAGGUUCUCGGAUCGUAAAACUCUGUUGUGAGGGAAGAACAAGUACCGGAGUAACUGCCGGUACCUUGACGGUACCUCAUUAGAAAGCCACGGCUAACUACGUGCCAGCAGCCGCGGUAAUACGUAGGUGGCAAGCGUUGUCCGGAAUCAUUGGGCGUAAAGCGCGCGCAGGCGGUCCCUUAAGUCUGAUGUGAAAGCCCACGGCUCAACCGUGGAGGGUCAUUGGAAACUGGGGGACUUGAGUGCAGAAGAGGAAAGCGGAAUUCCAAGUGUAGCGGUGAAAUGCGUAGAGAUUUGGAGGAACACCAGUGGCGAAGGCGGCUUUCUGGUCUGUAACUGACGCUGAGGCGCGAAAGCGUGGGGAGCAAACAGGAUUAGAUACCCGAGUAGUCC